rnacentral:rRNA from 1 species
GGCCAGACUCCUACGGGAGGCAGCAGUGGGGAAUAUUGCACAAUGGGGGAAACCCUGAUGCAGCGACGCCGCGUGAGUGAAGAAGUAUUUCGGUAUGUAAAGCUCUAUCAGCAGGGAAGAAAAUGACGGUACCUGACUAAGAAGCCCCGGCUAACUACGUGCCAGCAGCCGCGGUAAUACGUAGGGGGCAAGCGUUAUCCGGAUUUACUGGGUGUAAAGGGAGCGUAGACGGCAUGGCAAGUCAGAUGUGAAAGCCCGGGGCUCAACCCCGGGACUGCAUUUGAAACUGUCAGGCUGGAGUGCAGGAGAGGUAAGUGGAAUUCCUAGUGUAGCGGUGAAAUGCGUAGAUAUUAGGAGGAACACCAGUGGCGAAGGCGGCUUACUGGACUGUAACUGACGUUGAGGCUCGAAAGUGUGGGGAGCAAACAGGAUUAGAUACCCCAGUAC